AGCGAACGCUGGCGGCAGGCUUAACACAUGCAAGUCGAACGGGCACUUCGGUGCUAGUGGCAGACGGGUGAGUAACACGUGGGAACGUACCUUUCGGUUCGGAAUAAUUCAGGGAAACUUGGACUAAUACCGGAUACGCCCUUCGGGGGAAAGAUUUAUCGCCGAUAGAUCGGCCCGCGUCUGAUUAGCUAGUUGGUGAGGUAAUGGCUCACCAAGGCGACGAUCAGUAGCUGGUCUGAGAGGAUGAUCAGCCACAUUGGGACUGAGACACGGCCCAAACUCCUACGGGAGGCAGCAGUGGGGAAUAUUGGACAAUGGGCGCAAGCCUGAUCCAGCCAUGCCGCGUGAGUGAUGAAGGCCUUAGGGUUGUGAAGCUCUUUUGUCCGGGAAGAUAAUGACUGUACCGGAAGAAUAAGCCC
rnacentral:rRNA from 1 species